CGGCGGACGGGUGGGUAACACGUGGAUAACCUACCUAUAAGACUGGGAUAACUUCGGGAAACCGGAGCUAAUACCGGAUAACAUGUUGAACCGCAUGGUUCAACAGUGAAAGACGGUUUUGCUGUCAUUUAUAGAUGGAUCCGCGCCGCAUUAGCUAGUUGGUAAGGUAACGGCUUACCAAGGCAACGAUGCGUAGCCGACCUGAGAGGGUGAUCGGCCACACUGGAACUGAGACACGGUCCAG
rnacentral:rRNA from 1 species